rnacentral:rRNA from 1 species
UACGAGGGGUGCAAGCGUUGCUCGGAAUUAUUGGGCGUAAAGGGUAGGUAGGUGGUCUCAUUUGUCUGGGGUGAAAGCCUUGAGCUUAACUCAAGAAGUGCCCCGGAAACGGUGAGACUGGAGUCUUGGAGAGGGUCGUGGAAUUCCCGGUGUAGCGGUGAAAUGCGUAGAGAUCGGGAGGAACACCAGUGGCGAAGGCGGCUCACUGGCCCGGUGCUGACGCUGAGGUGCGAAAGCGUGGGGAGCAAACAGG